GGGGGAACAACGGGAACAACGGCCCCAGGCCUGGUGAUACAAAAGAGCCCAGAACUCUGGCCGCCACUGUGGUUACUAUGGCAACGGCGGCAUUCGGAGCACUGGGCCCUUGAAAUGGCUGCUGGAGCGCCGCACCAUGCACUCCAGGCCGCGCUGAGGGCUGUCUAUCAACAGCUCCGCCCCUUCUAUCUGAGGCCCCGCCCCUUCUAGGGCCACAGAACAGACCUCCCCCCCACCUCGGCCUUGCCCAGUGGCCUGGCCAGGCUGUCGGCCCCGCUGUAUGAAAAUUAAUCAAUCCCAGGGCAGGCCCAGUGGUGGAGGAGAAAUUCAGGUGCCCUUAAUGUGCAUAUGGGCCGCAGAAGGCUUUCAGUCUGGUGUAGGAACAUACACAAGGUCAAAGCCCGCAGAAAAGAGACCACGCUGCUGAAGAUCAUCUUUGAAGCCGUCCUCCUCUCUUCUUUGGUUCUGACUUCAGUGAGCACUCUCGAGAGGCUGCUGACUUCACAGCCGUCACCUGAGAUGAAUACACGUCCUGCCUGGUGAGGAGGAGAGAAAGACAGGCAGCUCUAAAGUGCAAAUGACUUACUCUGUGAACUCCACUCAAAGCCUCUGCCUUAACCAUUAGCAAGAGUUGAAAAUCCUCAGCGUCGUCAAGGAACGUUUCAGCGUCAUCUUGGUUGGAACUUGCCAACUAGUGAACAAUACAGGAAGGACGAGGGUCACUGGCGGAAAACUCCACUCUGCAAAAGGCUGCUGAGCAGAAGCGACGCUACGUAAUCUGACAGAUUGGAGUUCAGAAGGGGAAGACAUCGGAGCUUGGCAAACACCUCAACAGGCCCCUGGGAACCUCCUCUAGCCCCCGGCUGGGACAAGGAACGCCGGCCAGAGACUCGGAGCCCACGCCGCAAGGUGCUGCAUGAGCAGAGAACAAAUAACGGCAAUACCUUAUAGAGAGCAGAGCAUUUUACGAAGCAGGCUGGCAAAGGGGCUCACGGAGGAAGUUUCCGGGAAGUUUUGUGGCCGCCUUCGUAAGGAUCCAUUGCCCAAAUAACGCUGGCACACCUUCCAGGGCUCUAAACGACAGCAUGAAGAAAAGGAAAGAAAAAACAACAAGUAAGCUUACAGUGACAAUAGGAGAAACAUGAGUAAAAAGCAAAUUGAUGAUAUGCAGAAAAAAGAGUUAACAGAAAUAAUUUCCACUGCCCAGAAUACAUGAAUCUCUUACAUGGUUUAUUUCAGGUUAAAAUAUCGACAUUUCAGACAGGAACAAAGUUUUAAGCACAAUAAUAAACAUGUUACUUUUAAAAAUGAUUUAUUUAAAAACUUUUCCCAUGCCAGUUUACAUUUCCAAAUGUUUUAUUCUUGAUUUUUGUUGCACUCUUUUAAAAUAUAAAGUUUAAAUUGGCAACCCCUCCACUCAGAAAGAUAGACACUUUUAAUGUCAUUAGAAUGCAUGUAUUUACUUACUGUUAGUUAUUAUCACCCCAGCAGUUGAAACUGAAACCCAUUUCCUUGCUCAAAUGUUGUGUCUUCCAUCUUUUGCACGCAUCGUUUUGUUACUAUGGGAAUUUGCUCACCGAGGGGCACUGGCAUUUUCAAACUUUUGCAAUGAAGCAUUUAUUUAUUGAGUUUGUUUUUGAACCAAACACUCCAAAGAUGAGGAUGAAGUAUUAACGUCCAGUUUCCUGGUUUGUGGCACAUCUCACUUACAUUAUCUCAUUCACAAAAGUGUUUGUAAAACACCCAUCUUUGAUACGAGACUCAAACUGAUUCUUCAGCCUAUCCAGUGAAAGCCUGUGUCAGGGCCAAAUUAUGGCAACCUGUAUGCUUCAGCAACUCCCCCCCACCUCCCCAGAUUCUCAAUUACUACCUUAUGGCUGAAUCCAUCCCAUGGAAGGAAUAGAGAGUUUCACCUUUGACUUCUAAGGCCUUCUCUUGGUUUCAAUGAGCUUUGGAUCCUAAUGGCAAACAUCUGUUCUGAGACAGUGCAGAGUGCAGACUGGGACCCUUAGAGCAUGUACUCUACAAAUGCUCUAUACCCAGCUUCCUCGAAGUCAAAAACUCAUGAAGGCGGAUUCCCACCAUCAGGGCUCAACUCUACUUUUGUGGGGGGAAGCUAACGCAUUAGAAAAGUCUAGUGCGGAGAAGGUGGUGUCAACUGGAAGUAUGCUAGCAUACACUGGAACAUAGAACUUGCUACACUGCAUCGGUCAGGGGGUCCAUUCAGCCCAAUACUCUGUCUCUGACGCUGGCCAACACUGAACAUUUUAGAGAGAGGUGCAAGUAACCACUGCCUUGUCUACAUUAGAGUUUGAGACCGAGUUAAUUAGAAGAUGCUGUUUACCAUGCUGCAAGCAUUUAAUCCUAGUCACGAGAAACUCAAAUAUGGUGACACUCUGUAGUGCGUGGAAAGCACUCUGAAGUCAUGUUGAUGUGGAACUGAAUGGAUAUUUACCAAAUGUGCUAUCGACUCAAUAGAUUAUCACUAUGCUGUUAGUUUGGUUAUUGGGUCAGCAUGCAUGAAUGCCAGGUACUCAGAAGGCCUUUCAUGGACAUCUAUAUUUACUAACUUGAGGCUGCAAUAUAGACUCCUCUAAAAUUCACAGAGACAUUUCAUCAAAGACUACAAAGAAAUUCCUGCCCAGAGACAAGCACAUCGUUUUGAAGGCAAUAUCUAUAACAUUUCUUACUUCCCAUGAUACCCUGAUUGUUAUCAAUAAACGGGUCACCUCCAAGAAAUAGUGACUUCUCUUCUGCUCCCACUGACAUUAACGGCAAAAAUACAUCAAUACUGGCUGAAUUCUCUUUCAUUUCUAGUGACUGAACCCACACUUAUAACUUCUCUGGCUCCAGGUUUCCUCCCUCAUAUCAAGUAGUACCUUAAAAUCCAUGGGACUAUUUGUGGAAUGAGGAAUUUGUGGAAUCAUUGCAAAUAAUAGAAGCAGCAAUUGGGCCUUCAAAUGAAAUGAACAUGAUUUAAAAAAAAUGUAAUGCACUUUUGAGCAGAAACGUUUUGCUCUAUUUUAGCCUUGCACACAUUUCUAGAGAUGAGAGACACAGCCAUGAAAAUUGGGGAUUGCAAUCAAGGCAAAUGCUGACAACAUUACCUGUAGCCAUCUAGACAGUACCUCUAUAAGCCAAUUUAAAACUUCCCCUUGCUAAUUUUGAAAGCAGUGGUAAAAUGAUGUUAAUCUUAAAAAGCAUAACAUCUUUUAACAGUAACAUCUUUAACACUUUAUCACUCUCCAGCAAGAAAAUAAACUGAUGUACCUAAAUUAUACAGAUUAUCAAAACUUGUUUUAACAGUUAUACAGCAAACUCUAAAUUGAACAAGAAUUAAGUAUUCUAAUUUAUUGUGCAAAGCUAGUACGGUUCAAGAUAUUUAUGAACAGAAAUGGUCAAAUGCAUGUGCUUUCCCGUUUGUGAUUUGAAUUAAAAGACCCAAGUGGUAUUCAGUAUAUAAUUCUACCAUAAACUACUGCAUAUUACAACAUAUCUUUACUGCUUGUGCUAUUGCCAUUAUUUAUUGACUUUCUUGGGUGACCCCUUACUGUAAAGGGAUACCUUAAAUAGAAGAGGAGCAAAUAAAGAAAGCUGACAUUUUGGAAAGUAUUUAUGUUUGAAAAAAGAGUUUUACUCUCCAAUAAUUCUGUCGUCUCUGGGGAAAAAAAUAGGAUAAAAAAACUGAUCCUGAUGAAGCAUUCAAAUAUUAGAUUUAUUCCACAAAAGAUUUGUGAAUAGAUUUAUCUAUAACGAAAAGCAUUUUGACAUUUAUUUACCAACAUGGCUGACUCAUGCAACCCGAGCAAAUACAGAAGACUAAAAUAUAGGCCACAAGAGAGUGAUUUUGGCUGUAGAAUCUUAUACAUUAGGUUCCGUAGACUCUUUGCAGCUAUUUGAUUCCGAUUUACUAGACCAAGGCUACAAGAAGAGUUUCUAGUUUGCUGCAGCUUUUAUUUGGUCUCGUUAGAGCACAUGUAGCUUACAUACUUGAGAAUACAUUUAUUGCCCCACUCUAAAAUCGGCUCUCUUUGGAGCCAGUCCAGAUUUUUGGUUCCCUAUGUCUGAUAGCUCAAGGAUGGGGUUUUUUUUAAAUAUAUAACCUAUGACAGACCCACUGAUGAGCUACUGACCAUUUAUUUUUCGAUAUGCUAUUCCACAAGCAAUAGUAGCUUUGGGAUCAAAGGCCAUUUUGACCUCACUUACCUUGAAAGGUGCUCCUUUUUCUAAAAUGAAUGAUUCAACAAAGAAACAAACUGACAACCAAGAGGGACAUGGAUACAACGGACAAAACACACACGGACAACAUAAACAAUACAAAACCAAAGGGAAUCAAAAACCACCACACAUAUUUGAAUGGAUCUGAGGAACAGCUAUCAAACUGAAGUCAGCCGUUCAGCAAGGCUAGUGAGAAAAAGCCUAAGGAAAAUGGAGAAGAUGUACUGCGAUGAGAGAAGAUAUUCUUUAUACCCGGUUCCAAAAAACAAAGGGAGGGGGGGAAAAAAGAAGGGGGGGAAAAAAAGAAAAAAAUGGGCCUAUAAAAGCCACAUAACAUGGGACUCUCACUAGAAAAAUUAGAGAGA